AUGUCAAACAAGUCCUGCAACCAAAAGAUUAGAUCCGAUAGUUAGAAUAAUGGCGGCGGUUAGCGUUUCUUCAAGCUAUUGAUAGCGGCUGUUGUUGUUGCAAUUCGGAGAAGAAUCAACCACUAAUCCAGUUUGUACUUUCGUAUCUUGCUAAGAUGUUUCCUGGUGAAGGAACAUCCAGUGUAGUUGCUUCCGUGGUAACCCAGCAACAUGAUUCUUGAAAAUUCGAACGGGUCAGGAGCGUCGAAACAGAGGAAAAUAAUUGUAUAUGGGGUAUUCCUCAAAACAUGUUGGAGAAUUUAGCAAUGCAGAAAAUAUAAAGUGUUUAAAGGAGUGGCUACUUUAGUUAGCAAGGUGGUGGAGGAAGUAAAUGAAACAUCGUAUGCUUGGAUCCAGCACAUGUCAAAGAUUAUGAGUAUUUCGUGGAGUGAUUGGCGCAACUUUAAUUUAUCGUUUAAUGUCAUUUUUUUGUAUUCUUUUUGUGAUGUAACUCUGCUAGACUAUGUUUUGUUCUUGCUGUUCGGGUCUCCCUUUGCUCCUUGCUAAGUGGAUGUGUUUGGCUGGAUUAAUAAAGGUUUUCUUUGUUGUUUUUCUU
rnacentral:lncRNA from 1 species